rnacentral:tRNA from 1 species
AAAAUCCUUCCGGCUCCUGGGGUUCAAGUCCCUCUAUCCCCA